AGUUUGAUCCUGGCUCAGGAUGAACGCUGGCGGCGUGCCUAACACAUGCAAGUCGAACGAAGCUCUUACGACAGAUCUCUUCGGAGUGAAGAUGUUUGAGACUGAGUGGCGGACGGGUGAGUAACGCGUGGGUAACCUGCCUCAUAGAGGGGGACAACAGUUGGAAACGACUGCUAAUACCGCAUAGUAAGAAAGAACCGCAUGAUUUUUUCUUGAAAGCUUUUGCGCUAUGAGAUGGACCCGCGUCUGAUUAGCUAGUUGGUAAGGUAACGGCUUACCAAGGCAACGAUCAGUAGCCGGCUUGAGAGAGUGAACGGCCACAUUGGGACUGAGACACGGCCCAAACUCCUACGGGAGGCAGCAGUGGGGAAUAUUGCACAAUGGGGGAAACCCUGAUGCAGCGACGCCGCGUGAGUGAAGAAGUAUUUCGGUAUGUAAAGCUCUAUCAGCAGGAAAGAUAAUGACGGUACCUGACUAAGAAGCCCCGGCUAACUACGUGCCAGCAGCCGCGGUAAUACGUAGGGGGCAAGCGUUAUCCGGAUUUACUGGGUGUAAAGGGUGCGUAGGUGGCAAGGCAAGUCAGAUGUGAAAGCCCGGGGCUCAACCCCGGUAUUGCAUUUGAAACUGUUUAGCUAGAGUGCAGGAGAGGUAAAGGGAAUUCCUGGUGUAGCGGUGAAAUGCGUAGAUAUCAGGAGGAACAUCGGAGGCGUAAGCGCUUUACUGGGCCGUAAUUGACACUGAGGAACGAAAGCCGGGGUAGCAAAUGAGAUUAGAUACCCCAGUAGUCCCGGCCGUAAACGAUGGAUACUAGGUGUGGGGGGUAUCGACCCCUGCAGUGCCGGAGCAAACGCGUUAAGUAUCCCGCCUGGGGAGUACGCACGCAAGUGUGAAACUCAAAGGAAUUGACGGGGACCCGCACAAGCGGUGGAACAUGUGGUUUAAUUCGAAGCAACGCGAAGAACCUUACCAGGGCUUGACAUCUGAUGAAUAUUUGUGAAAGCAGAUAGUGCUCUUCGGAGAGCGUCAAGACAGGUGGUGCACGGUUGUCGUCAGCUCGUGUCGUGAGAUGUUGGGUUAAGUCCCGCAACGAGCGCAACCCUCGUUAUUAGUUGCAGAUGUUGGUAAACUGACAUUAUGCUCUCUAAUGAGACUGCCGGUGAUAAACCGGAGGAAGGUGGGGAAGACGUCAAAUCAUCAUGCCCCUUAUGUCCUGGGCUACACUCGUGUUACAAUGGCCGGAACAACGAGCAGCCAACUUGCGAGAGUGAGCAAAUCUCUAAAAACCGGUCUCAGUUCGGAUCGGACUGUGCAACUAGAGUCCAUGAAGUUAGGAAUCGCCAGUAAACGCAGAUCAGCACGCUCCGUUGAAUAAGUUCCCGGCUCCCGCACUCACCGCCCGUCA
rnacentral:rRNA from 1 species